CCAAUUGCUGCUUGGUAUUACCAUGUAAUGUAUUUACUUCAAGGGAUAGCCCCGCUAGUCAUUAUCAGCCUCCUUUAUUCGUGGUCUUCACAAAAACAUCAGGACCUGUCAGAUAACGUCAUCAACACAGGAAAUUACUACGUUUGUGAGAAAAAAUGUCAUGUUGAAAUAAAUAGAAGCAUAUAUAGUUUACCUAGUAAUUGAUUUAUUCAAAUAGAAGCAAGUUAUUUCAACCACCACAUUUCUACCCCCAGUACUUGGAUCUGUACCCUCAUAUCAUGGAAUAAGAAUCACGAAGAAUCCGACCUCUAAAUUCACAUCGGUAUUGAACACCCUCACCCAAAUCUGAGCAACUUAGGUUGAAAGCAAACGAUUUAUGCCCUAAUGUAUCUUGCAGACUACUGGAAGAACUUUGUAUUUCUUUUGAGUUUAAAGUACAGAGUAAACAACACAAAGAUAAAAAAAAACAAUUGCUAUGAAAGCAUUUUCAAACUUUUUUGAAACUAAAACAGUCCUACAGGACUAUAUAGGACUGAAACCAUUCACCAAAUAAUUGAAACUUGAAAGAAUACUUUUUCUGAAAUAGAAACAUAAUUCAUUUACUACAGAUUCUAGGUAUUUCCUGCAAGUAACAAUGCUACACAAGCAACUAUAGGAAUUAAGAAAAGCAUAUUUUCUUACAAAUCUAAAAUACUUCGAGUAAAUCUCAUACAUGUGGUUAGUUUUCCUCGGUAAGGUCAGAUGUCAAGAUCUCAAGCUCCCUUCGACAUUAAUAUGGUCAAUUUUUAUCAACCUCUACGCGUCUCUUUUAAUCAUCAAUUCAGAGGAAAGUUUUAUCCUCUCUGUUAUUAUCCUCUUUUUAUCAUGUUCUUAUAUCAGUCAAUGAUUUUGUGACACAUAGAUACAAUUCUAAACCAAUAGGUAGAACAUUGAAAUUACAAAUAUUAGCCUUCAGGUACCUUCCCUCUCGAUCAACUUACCAAAAUAAAUAACAAAAAGGCUGUGGAUUCAAGUUGUUAAGAAAUUUUUAUGUUUACUAUGAAUAUGUAUCAAGCGAUUGACGAUAACAUGAUCCUUUCAUUCUCAAUUCGCCAUGAAUAAGGUAGAGAUAAAAGAUCCACCACCCAGCCUUCUACUUGAGUCAUAACCAUAUCAUUCGAAAUAUUUUGUAAAUGUCUCUAAUUCAUGCCUGUGAGGGCCUUUGCCCUUCUUCUCUUCAAUAAAAAGUGUUAUACUUUAUUGUCACUUUGAAAAACAUCAAAUUCACAAAUACAUGCCUACUGCUCACAUAAGCUUCUUGUGGUUUAGACCUCAAUGAGACAUUUUUAUCAAUAAAUUUCACAUAGAGAUCAUUAUUAUUUUAAAAAUAAACUAAUCAUAUGGAGAGCUUAUUUGGUUAUCGAGAAAACAAUUUAAAUCUUGAUAAUUAUAAGAGUAACUUGGUAACUUGUGUUGAAGGGAUAUAACAAGUAUUUCAUGAAAUUAGUUUGAGGUGCACACAAGUGGCCCAGACACUACAAUCAUAGAGAAACUAUAUCUUUAUUGAACGCAAUCUUGUGUGAUUGAUUAUGAUGUGUUUGAUCUUACUUCACAUAUGCUUAGGUAAUUGACCUCAAGAUCGCAAAAGAAAGUAAGAUGGUUUGGUCUUAAUAUUCUAGAAUAUAGAACAAACUUAUUUGACUUAAAACGAAAACCUGACAGACCCUGCUUCUUCCAAAAAAAAUCCCAUCAGCACUAUUAAAACAACAACAUACCAUGUAUAGUGGCACAAAGUGGGGUCUGGAGAGGGUAAGUGUACGCAAUGUUGUUUCCCACCUUCACUAAUCCAUAUGAAUAAAGAAUAUAAGUAGUAAGAAAAAAAUUAUAACAAUUGCCAAUGCAACAAGAUUUUCUCAUGAAUAGUAGCGUCAUGUAUCUGCCAUACACCUUUUCAAUAGCAUCCACAGGAAGAAAUAUACAAAAUUAUCAAUAUAGCAUGUUUUUCAAGGGAGGUGCCAAAUAAAAUUCUUUAUUAAUUUGAUAGCCUAAUAAUAUUAUAUACAUGUGAGAUACAACCUACAUUUCUUUUAACAUAAAAUAAAAAUAGUGGGACUUGCAAGAUUGAAUUUUGUUAACUCCCUUAAUUUGACGUAUGUUAAAAAUUUGAUUAGGAUCGGUAAGUUAAGGCAUAACUUCCAUUAGUUGUACCUUAAAAAAACAGGAAAAAAAAAAGAAGGGCAUCUUAAAAUCAAUUAAGAACAUGAAAGUAAAAAAGGACAACUUUGCAGGUUAAAAAGGCUACUUGCAGUAUACCAAAUCCGCAAUUUUUUCAAUUCAACAUAUAACAAAUUCACAACGGAACAAUGAAAUUUAAUUACCAUUGCAAACGAAAAAAAAAUAUGGGCAUCAUCAUGCAUGCGAGCGUACCUUAGUUGUAGUAUAACAAAUCCACAAUUUCUUCUCUUCAACAUAAAUUGACCUUGAGUAUCUCAAAUAAUGAGUAUGCAGGCUCAUUUUUAGUUACUCCCUUCAAUUUGAGGACUUAAGGCUCAGAGAACGAAAGCUGCAGAUUUGAUUUGGUAUGACAUUUCGAGGCUGAAAUUGAAAUUUAGAUAACUGUAUCGGAAGAAUUAUCGGUUAAC
rnacentral:lncRNA from 1 species